UCAUUAAGCUGUCAAACGUGUUCCACCAAACUGUAGGUGAAAACUCUUAGUCAUCCAUGUCAGUGUCCUCAGGAGUGCCAAACAGGGCACACGGCCUUGACAGACACUUCUAAAACCUCUCUCACUGCUCAUAAAAGAGGAAUAAAAAGAAGUUAACACUUCCUUUUUUUAAAUUUCACUUUCACUAAGUAUAAUAGUUGCAGUCGUGUUGUUUAAGAUUUCAGUUUUUUCAAAGAUGAGUUGGCCAUCAGCAGGUAUUUUCAGACUACUGUUGCCAGGAGAGGAAAAGAUAACCGGAGCUGUAAUUACAUCUCUGAACGCCUCAGUAGAUGAAAAAGAAAAUUAUGAAAUAAUUUAACUGUAAAAGUAAUAAAUGGUCUACGUUCUAAUUAUAUCAUAGAGUUGCUAAAAAAAACAAGUUGCAAAUUUACUUAAAUACCCCAGGAGUUGCAAAGGUGUUUAGUUGCUGUGCAAAAAUGUGCAGAAAACAACAGUUAAACGUUUAUUUCUUCCCCAAAACCCUUAAAUGUAUUCUCAUAUCGCAAUUUUUAACUAUAAUCUUGUUAAAGAUUAGAGUUUUCUACUCAUAAUACAACUUUAUUUCUUUAAGACGUAUGACUUGAUUCCUAAAAUGUUCGUAUUUAUAUGGUCGUACAACUCCUCAGCUUUGUUUUUAAUAUAAAAAUGGAGCAGAAAAAAUACUGUAAUAGUUUUUUAUAUGAGAUAUAGGUGUAAAUAAAUUAAAAUGAUUUUGAGUUUUAAAUUUGUCGUAGUGAUACUGGCCGAGUUAGUACUAAAACUCCCUACGUUUCACAACAGCAUUUGAACAUACCAAGUGGGCCGUGUCCAAACAAAGUUUUCCAGCGGACGUGACGUAGCAGCCUGUUAGAUUAACUUUCUUCGUCUUUUCCACAUUUGCCUGUAUGUCCUUGUGUUUCAGUUGGCGGGCAGUCAGCCUUUCCAUGCCGCUGAGUUCGACAAACUUAACCCUUUACUUUCUAGAAGUUCUGAACCAGUCGUUAUUGUUCAGACUUCAUUAAAAAAAAAAAAAAAAACAGGUAACGGGAUAAACCACGCUCCUGCAGGAGAAGUCUUUCUUCGACAACAAACGCCUCCCUUGUGUACCUUCGGCUUCCAAAGGCGACCUGUCUUCAGGCUGAACAGCAGAGAGAGGAGAACAGGGGGAGCUCCCUGUGAUUAAUAUUAACACCUGAAAUGACUCAAGCUGAAGUAAUGAGGUGGAAUCUGCCCCGGCCAGGCACACACACCCGAGGCUGGCGUCCUGACACAUUGUGCAACAGUGUCACAGGGCCACAGGGGUUGCCAAGGUGGUCUGAAGUCUGAGUUUCUACACCCUUCCUGAUGCACCCCUAUCUGAACCUGGAGACUGUGAGGUAAAAUCCAUGUAUUCAUAUUAUCGCAAGUGGCGCCCCCCUGUGGAGGUCCCUGUGGAUGGUUGUGGUCAUCCUUGUAAAAUAAAGGUAAAGAUAAAGUAGGUGAGGCCAUACGGAGCAUUCUCACAUAAAGCCUGAAAAAAUUUGGUUUACAGAAAUAAUGAGGCUUGAAUUAUUUUAUAUGUAAAUGAUAUAUUUUCAUGUAUUUUCAGUUUAUGUCACUGUUCCAUUUUAAGACCCCAGUCUACAAUCCUAUUCAUAUAAAUAGACAACAGCUCAUUCACU